UCCUCAGUAACUCAGUGGUAGAGCGGUUGGCUAUUAACCAAUUGGCCGUAGGUUCAAAUCCUACUUAGGGAG
rfam:Capsicum annuum cultivar Zunla-1 chromosome 10, whole genome shotgun sequence